CACCGCCCGUCACGUCAUGAAAGUUGGAAACGCCUGAAGUCGGUGAGCUAACCGCAAGGAGGCAGCUGCCGAGGGCGGAGUCAGCGAUUGGGACA
rnacentral:rRNA from 1 species